GACGAACGCUGGCGGCGUGCUUAACACAUGCAAGUCGAACGAAGUGGCGACCGGGAGAGUAACGCGUAAUACACCUGCCCUUCAGAGGGGGACAACAGUAGGAAACGACUGCUAAUCACGCAUAAUGAAGGAGGGGAUUGCGUCUGAUUAGCUAGUUGGAGGGGUAACGGCCCACCAAGGCGAUGAUCCGUAACUGGUCUGAGAGGAUGAUCAGUCACACUGGAACUGAGACACGGUCCAGAAUCCUACGGGAGGCAGCAGUGGGGAAUAUUGGACAAUGGGCGAAAGCCUGAUCCAGCCAUGCCGCGUGUGUGAAGAAGGUCUUCGGAUUGUAAAGCACUUUAAGUUGGGAGGCGUUACCAACAGAAUAAGCACCGGCUAACUUCGUGCCAGCAGCCGCGGUAAUAC
rnacentral:rRNA from 1 species